AUUCCAGCUCCAAUAGCGUAUAUUAAAGUUGUUGCGGUUAAAAAGCUCGUAGUUGGAUUUCUGGAAAGGACGACCGGUCCACCCACUGGGUGAGAACAUGGUUCGGCUCGACCAUUUUCUUGGAGAACGCUGCUGCGCUUCAUUGUGUGGGGUGGCAUCCAGGACUUUUACUUUGAAAAAAUUAGAGUGUUUAAAGCAGGCUUUUGCUAUGAAUACAUUAGCAUGGAAUAAUAAUCUAGGACUUCGGUCAUAUUUUGUUGGUUUCUGUAACUGAAGUAAUGAUUGAUAGGGAUAGUUGGGGGUGCUAGUAUUGAGCGGCCAGAGGUGAAAUUCUUGGAUUCGCUCAAGACUAACUUAUGCGAAAGCAUUCACCAAGGAUGUCCUCAUCG
rnacentral:rRNA from 1 species